rnacentral:rRNA from 1 species
GGUCAAGUGUUUAAGGGCGCAUGGUGGAUGCCUUGGCAUCAGGAGCCGAUGAAGGACGUGGGAGCCUGCGAUAAGCCUCGGGGAGUUGGCAACCGAAUGUUGAUCCGAGGGUGUCCGAAUGGGGAAACCCGGCCGUCGUCAUGGGCGGUCACCCGCAUCUGAAUGUAUAGGGUGCGUGGAGGGAACGUGGGGAAGUGAAACAUCUCAGUACCCACAGGAAGAGAAAACAAUUGAGUGAUUCCGUGAGUAGUGGCGAGCGAAAGCGGAUGAGGCUAAACCUGGCUCGUGUGAUACCUGGUAGGGGUUGCGGGUGAGGGGUUGUGGGAGUGUUCUGGACUGGGCUACCACCUGGUCGGGGAGUGAGAAAGUCGUGGUGUAGCCGAAGGGCUUGGGAUGGUCCGGCGUAGUGGGUGAGACCCCCGUAGGCGAAACAUUGCGGCCUCCUUGGGAGCAUGUCCCGAGUAGCACGGGGCUCGUGAAAUCUCGUGUGAAUCUGCCAGGACCACCUGGUAAGCCUAAAUACUUCCUGAUGACCGAUAGCGGACAAGUACCGUGAGGGAAUGGUGAAAAGCACCCCGGGAGGGGAGUGAAAUAGUACCUGAAACCGUGUGCCUACAAUCCGUCGGAGCAGGCUUGUACCUGUGACGGCGUGCCUUUUGAAGAAUGAGCCUGCGAGUUAGUGGUGCGUGGCGAGGUUAACCCGUGUGGGGUAGCCGUAGCGAAAGCGAGUCCGAAUAGGGCGUUUUUAGUCGCGUGCUCUAGACCCGAAGCGGAGUGAUCUACCCAUGGCCAGGUUGAAGCGCGGGUAAGACCGUGUGGAGGACCGAACCCACCAGGGUUGAAAACCUGGGGGAUGAGCUGUGGGUAGGGGUGAAAGGCCAAUCAAACUCCGUGAUAGCUGGUUCUCCCCGAAAUGCAUUUAGGUGCAGCGUCACGUGUUUCUUGCUGGAGGUAGAGCUACUGGAUGGCUAAUGGGCCCCACCGGGUUACUGACGUCAGCCAAACUCCGAAUGCCGGUAAGUGAGAGCGUGGCAGUGAGACUGCGGGGGAUAAGCUUCGUAGUCGAGAGGGAAACAGCCCAGAUCAUCAGCUAAGGCCCCUAAGCGUGUGCUAAGUGGGAAAGGAUGUGGAGUUGCGCAGACAACCAGGAGGUUGGCUUAGAAGCAGCCACCCUUUAAAGAGUGCGUAAUAGCUCACUGGUCAAGUGAUUCCGCGCCGACAAUGUAGCGGGGCUCAAGUACACCGCCGAAGCUGUGGCAUUCACAUAUUAACCCCAGGUGCUUGGACUUGUUCUGAGUGUCUGCAGGUGUGUGGAUGGGUAGGGGAGCGUCGUGUGUGGGGUGAAGCAGCCUGGUGAUGGGUUGUGGACUGCACGCGAGUGAGAAUGCAGGCAUGAGUAGCGAAUGACGGGUGAGAAACCCGUCCGCCGAUUGACCAAGGGUUCCAGGGCUAGGUUCAUCCGCCCUGGGUAAGUCGGGACCUAAGGCGAGGCCGACAGGCGUAGUCGAUGGACAACGGGUUGAUAUUCCCGUACCGGCGUAGAACCGUCCAUGGUGAGGCCGGGGAUGCUAAGCACCCAAAGCCGCCACCACCUUCGGGUGGUGGUUGGUGGAGCGUGUGACCCGAUCCGGUAGUAGUCAAGCGUAUUAACAGGGGUGACGCAGGAGGGUAGCUUCCGCGUGGCGAUGGUUGUCCACGUCCAAGGGUGUAGGGCGUGCUGUUGGUAAAUCCGCAGCGCUGACUUGAAUNNNNNNNNNNNNNNNNNNNNNNNNNNNNNNNNNNNNNNNNNNNNNNNNNNNNNNNNNNNNNNNNNNNNNNNNNNNNNNNNNNNNNNNNNNNNNNUGACCCUUUCGGGGGGAAGUAGGGUGAUCCCAUGCUGCCUAGAAAAGCCUCGGCGCGAGGUUCGAGCCGCCCGUACCCUAAACCGACUCAGGUGGUCAGGUAGAGAAUACCGAGGCGUUCGAGUGAAUCGUGGUUAAGGAACUCGGCAAAAUGCCCCCGUAACUUCGGGAGAAGGGGGGCCUGAGACGUGAAGCUCCUUGCGGGCUAGCGUUUGAGGGCCGCAGAGACCAGGGGGAAGCGACUGUUUACUAAAAACACAGGUCCGUGCGAAGUCGCAAGACGAUGUAUACGGACUGACGCCUGCCCGGUGCUGGAACGUUAAGGGGACCGGUUACUCCACCUUGUGUGGGGGACGCUGAGAACUUAAGCGCCAGUAAACGGCGGUGGUAACUAUAACCAUCCUAAGGUAGCGAAAUUCCUUGUCGGGUAAGUUCCGACCUGCACGAAUGGCGUAACGACUUCCCCGCUGUCUCAACCGCGAACUCGGCGAAAUUGCACUACGAGUAAAGAUGCUCGUUACGCGCAGCAGGACGGAAAGACCCCGGGACCUUCACUAUAGCUUGGUAUUGGUGUUCGGGACGGCUUGUGUAGGAUAGGUGGGAGACUGUGAAGCUCACACGCUAGUGUGGGUGGAGUCAACGUUGAAAUACCACUCUGGUCGUUCUGGAUGUCUAACUUCGGUCCGUGAUCCGGAUCAGGGACAGUGCCUGGUGGGUAGUUUAACUGGGGCGGUUGCCUCCUAAAGAGUAACGGAGGCGCCCAAAGGUUCCCUCAGCCUGGUUGGCAAUCAGGUGUUGAGUGUAAGUGCACAAGGGAGCUUGACUGUGAGACCGACAGGUCGAGCAGGGACGAAAGUCGGGACUAGUGAUCCGGCCGUGGAGUGUGGAAUCGCGGUCGCUCAACGGAUAAAAGGUACCCCGGGGAUAACAGGCUGAUCUUGCCCAAGAGUCCAUAUCGACGGCAUGGUUUGGCACCUCGAUGUCGGCUCGUCGCAUCCUGGGGCUGGAGUAGGUCCCAAGGGUUGGGCUGUUCGCCCAUUAAAGCGGUACGCGAGCUGGGUUUAGAACGUCGUGAGACAGUUCGGUCCCUAUCCGCUGCGCGCGUUGGAAACUUGAGAAGGGCUGUCCCUAGUACGAGAGGACCGGGACGGACGAACCUCUGGUGUGCCAGUUGUUCCGCCAGGAGCAUGGCUGGUUGGCUACGUUCGGAAGGGAUAACCGCUGAAGGCAUCUAAGCGGGAAGCCUGCUUCGAGAUGAGGUUUCCGUGCCCCCUUGUGGGGUGAGAGGCUCCCUGUAGACGACGGGGUUGAUAGGCCGGGUGUGGAAGCAACGACGAGAGAGUUGUGGAGCUGACCGGUACUAAUAGGCCGAUCACUUGUCUAC